rnacentral:rRNA from 1 species
AUUGAACGCUGGCGGCAUGCUUUACACAUGCAAGUCGAACGGUAACAGGCCGCAAGGUGCUGACGAGUGGCGAACGGGUGAGUAAUGCAUCGGAACGUGCCCAGUCGUGGGGGAUAACGCAGCGAAAGCUGUGCUAAUACCGCAUACUAUCUAUGGCUGAAAGCGGGGGACCGCACGGCCUCGCGCGAUUGGAGCGGCCGAUGUCAGAUGAGGUAGUUGGUGGGGUAAAGGCCCACCAAGCCAACGAUCUGUAGCUGGUCUGAUAGGACGACCAGCCACACUGGGACUGCGACACGGCCCAGACUCCUACGGGAGGCAGCAGUGGGGAAUUUUGGACAAUGGGCGCAAGCCUGAUCCAGCAAUGCCGCGUGCAGGAAGAAGGCCUUCGGGUUGUAAACUGCUUUUGUACGGAACGAAAAGGUCUGGGUUAAUACCCUGGGCUGAUGACGGUACCGUAAGAAUAAGCACCGGCUAACUACGUGCCAGCAGCCGCCGUAAAAC